GAGGUUGUAGCUCAGUGGUAGAGUGCUUGCCUAGCAUGCAUGAGACAUUAGGUUCAAUCCUCAGCACCA
rfam:Ictidomys tridecemlineatus contig037462, whole genome shotgun sequence.